rnacentral:rRNA from 1 species
CAGCCGCCACGGGAAUACGUAGGGUGCGAGCGUUAAUCGGAAUUACUGGGCGUAAAGCGUGCGCAGGCGGUUAUAUAAGACAGAUGUGAAAUCCCCGGGCUCAACCUGGGACCUGCAUUUGUGACUGUAUAGCUAGAGUACGGUAGAGGGGGAUGGAAUUCCGCGUGUAGCAGUGAAAUGCGUAAAUAUGCGGAGGAACACCGAUGGCGAAGGCAAUCCCCUGGACCCGUACUGACGCUCAUGCACGAAAGCGUGGGGAGCAAACAGGAUUAGAUACCCGCGUAGUCCCUGUCUCUUAUAC